GUCAGGAUGGCCGAAUGGUCCAAGGCGCCAGACUUCCCGUGCUUGGGGUUUCUGGUCUCCAGGUGGAGGCACGGGUUCGAAUCCCACUUGUGACA
rnacentral:tRNA from 1 species